UACGUAGGGGGCAAGCGUUGUCCGGAAUCAUUGGGCGUAAAGCGCGUGUAGGCGGUUCGGUAAGUCUGCUGUGAAAGUCCAGGGCUCAACCCUGGGAUGCCGGUGGAUACUGUCGAACUAGAGUACGGAAGAGGCGAGUGGAAUUCCCGGUGUAGCGGUGAAAUGCGCAGAUAUCAGGAAGAACACCCGUGGCGAAGGCGGCUCUCUGGGACGGUACUGACGCUGAGACGCGAAAGCGUGGGGAGCGAACAGG
rnacentral:rRNA from 1 species